UACGUAGGGCGCAAGCGUUAUCCGGAAUUAUUGGGCGUAAAGAGCUCGUAGGCGGUUUGUCGCGUCUGCCGUGAAAGUCCGGGGCUCAACCCCGGGUCUGCAGUGGGUACGGGCAGACUAGAGUGCAGUAGGGGAGACUGGAAUUCCUGGUGUAGCGGUGAAAUGCGCAGAUAUCAGGAGGAACACCGAUGGCGAAGGCAGGUCUCUGGGCUGUAACUGACGCUGAGGAGCGAAAGCAUGGGGAGCGAACAGG
rnacentral:rRNA from 1 species